AUGUCUUUAGAUUUUAUCAUAUUUCAUCCACAAUUCCGUCAAUAAUGUCAAGUGCGGUGCACGUGGAACAAAAAACAGAGGACAAUUUCGACACAGCGAGCAACAAUCACGUCUUACAUGGUCAUAUGGCUCCAAGUCAACGCCUUCAAUGGCCAUAUGGAUGGACUUCUACAGAGAGAGAGAGAGAGAGAGAGAGAGAGAAAGACCCAAUCGAUGGCCAGCACUGGAGCCGCCGCUUCUUCUGCUCCGGUUGAAUCGGCGAAAGAAAGUCUUCCACUUUGGGCCGGCGACGAUCUCCACUCCCGAAGCUUAUAGAAGGCUUUGAGGUCGCGGGACCACGAGCAGUCGUCGUUUUGGUUUACUCACAUCCGCUCCCACCAGGCUGACGGUGACGGGAUAUAGAAGCUACAUCGCGAACUGGUUACUAUUGACUCCAAGUGCAACGUUUUCCAUGGCCAUAUAGACUUAUAGAGAUGAAGAGAGAGAGAGAGAGAGAGAGAGAGAGAGAGAGAGAGAGAGAGACUUCGGAAAACCCCCAAUUGAACAAUUGUGUCUCUCUCUGUAAAACCCCCAUUGAACAAGGCGCUGCUAUCUCCACUUUUGUGAUCCAAUCCACGUGCUCGACUUGGACUUGGCUGAACAUGUAUGUUCCUUCGCAUCUUCAAACCACUUCCUCUUCUUCUCCUUCUUAACCAUCUACAAUGAUGGGUAUGUUGAAACAAUUAUCUGUAAUGGUGGAAUUUGGGAAAUUAGGGCUGCUAUGUUUUUAAUUUGACCUACCUAUUAGGGAAGAUGAAGAUUGGUAGGGAAAGGGGUUAGAAUGACUAUAUUGCCCCUCCAAUUAUGUUGCGCAUGUGUCUCAUGUGUCUCACGUGCCAUUUC
rnacentral:lncRNA from 1 species